CUGGACAUCACUGGCUCCCUGUGUGUUAAAGCUUCCUGAGGUCAGAGGAAGAGGAAGCACAGAAAACGGAGGAGGGACUUCUUACAGGAGAGAACCAGAGCACUGAUCCUUUCCUGGACAUUUCAUAGAAAUGGAAUCACACCCUAUGUGGUCUUUGCAUCUGACUUCUUCACAAAAGUGUAAUGUUUUGGAGGUUUACCUGUGCCAUAAUGAGGGAAAUGGAGGCAUCACCCAUCACUCACCCAAGGUUGCAGCAAGAGAUGGUGAAGGUCUGAUGGAAGGCAGUGACCACAAGCAUGGACAGGUAUUUGAGGGAGAAUCGGCAGCACUUGGAGGCAGCUGGCUGUGGGGAGGAGGGGAAGCUGAGGCUUCCCGCACAUCAUGGGUGGGAUGUAGGAGGAGACAGAGCAGGUUGGAGGGGAAGAUAAUGAGCUCAGGCUUCCAGCUGCCCAGAUGUCUCCAAGCCGCUCUCUUGAGAAAUGGUGUUUAUUACAUGACAAUGUCUAUAAUUUGGCUUCCGGCAUGACUCGAUAAUUAGCUUAAGUUAUCCUUCUUUGGCAUUUCAUUCAAAGCAAGGACACUCUUACAUUCAU